rnacentral:rRNA from 1 species
UGGGGAAUUUUACGCAAUGGGGGAAACCCUGACGUAGCGACACCGCGUGAGCGAAGAAGCCUUUUGGGGUGUAAAGCUCUGUCAGCUGGAACGAACACAAUGAUGGUACCAGCAGAGGAAGCAUCGGCUAACUACGUGCCAGCAGCCGCGGUAAGACGUAGGAUGCAAGCGUUGUCCGGAUUCAUUGGGCGUAAAGAGUUCGUAGGUGGUCUGUUAAGUUUGGUGUUAAAGAGCGGGGCCCAACCCCGAUAGUGCACUGAAUACUGGCAGACUUGAGUGCGGUAGAGGUAAGUGGAAUUCCAAGUGUAGCGGUGAAAUGCAUAGAUAUUUGGAAGAACACCGGUGGCGUAAGCGACUUACUGGGCCGUAACUGACACUGAGGAACGAAAGCCGGGGUAGCGAAUG